CGGGUGCGUAACGCGUGAGCAACCUACCUCUAUCAGGGGGAUAGCCUCUCGAAAGAGGGAUUAACACCGCAUAACAUCAACAGUUCGCAUGUUCAGUUGAUUAAAUAUUUAUAGGAUAGAGAUGGGCUCGCGUGACAUUAGCUAGUUGGUAGGGUAACGGCUUACCAAGGCGACGAUGUCUAGGGGCUCUGAGAGGAGAAUCCCCCACACUGGUACUGAGACACGGACCAGACUCCUACGGGAGGCAGCAGCG
rnacentral:rRNA from 1 species